UACGUAGGGACCGAGCGUUGUCCGGAUUCAUUGGGCGUAAAGAGCUCGUAGGCGGCUGCUCAAGUCGAAUGUGAAAACUCGAGGCUUAACCUCGAGCCUGCAUUCGAUACUGGGCGGCUAGAGUCUGGUAGGGGGAUCUGGAAUUCCUGGUGUAGCGGUGGAAUGCGCAGAUAUCAGGAGGAACACCUGUGGUGUAGACGGCUUUCUGGACCAUAACUGACGCUGAGACACGAAAGCGUGGGUAGCAAACAGG
rnacentral:rRNA from 1 species